AUGGCCAAAUGCUUCAAUAGGGUACUCAAAGGUGCACGUGGAUUACCCGUGACGGCAAUAGUUCAAUACACAUUUGACAAGAUUAAUGCAUACUUUGUAAAGUACUCCAUGGAAACGGAUGCACAGAUAGCGGGUGAGAACCCUCCCAAGUACAAAUACAAGUUCCCACCAAAGGUUGAUGAAUGGUUGGUAUUUCAAUCACGGAAGGCGGACUCAGAGGCUAUAUUAUAUGACAACGAAGAGUGGAAGUACGAAGUGAAAGAGCCAGGAGGAACCACAAACGAUGGCCGCCAACAUGGAGGUCGGGCUUUCAAGGUGUCGUUAACACAAUGUGAUUGCUCUUACCGGAGGCCAUUGUUGCUUCAUCUUCCAUGCUCACACUUGUAUACCUCCGGUCGCGUUAGGAAUGUGGACAACAAUCACCCACGCACCGUGAGGGAAUCGGAGUUCUCAAUCAUGACGGUCAAGAAAACAUGGGCUCCCCGCUUUCACCCAUAUCUUGACCAAUCACAAUGGCCAGAGUACCAUGGUGUUCAACUAUGGCCGGAUCCGGAGUUGAAGGUUGUUAAACGGGGUAGACGUAAGACAAAGCAUCUUAGAGGCGACAUGGACGGAUGGGGCCAUGGUGGCCGCCGUGAAGCGUGCAACGACCAAUUCCAAGAGCCUCAUGAGAGCUCCCGUUGUGGGCAGUGCAAAGGUCAUGGCCACAACAAAAGAAAAUGUACGAAACCAAUGAAAAGGUCCAAGAAAAAUUAUGCAAGCACAAGACAACAAGGAGCUACAGAAGGAAGCCAACCAAGUGCCAAGCCAACCAAGUGGUAG
rnacentral:rRNA from 1 species